rnacentral:rRNA from 1 species
UGAACGCUGGCGGCAUGCCUAACACAUGCAAGUCGAACGGAAACGAUGGAAGCUUGCUUCCAGGCGUCGAGUGGCGGACGGGUGAGUAAUGCUUAGGAAUCUGCCCAGUAGUGGGGGACAACUCGGGGAAACCCGAGCUAAUACCGCAUACGCCCUACGGGGGAAAGCGGGGGAUCUUCGGACCUCGCGCUAUUGGAUGAGCCUAAGUCGGAUUAGCUUGUUGGUGAGGUAAAGGCUCACCAAGGCGACGAUCCGUAGCUGGUCUGAGAGGACGAUCAGCCACACUGGGACUGAGACACGGCCCAGACUCCUACGGGAGGCAGCAGUGGGGAAUAUUGGACAAUGGGGGCAACCCUGAUCCAGCAAUGCCGCGUGUGUGAAGAAGGCCUGCGGGUUGUAAAGCACUUUCAGUAGAGAAGAAAAGCCUACGGUUAAUAACCGUGAGUCUUGACGUAACCUACAGAAGAAGCUCCGGCUAACUCC